UGAAAUUGUUGAAAGGGAAGCGCUUGCAACCAGACCUGCCUGCAGUUGCUCAUCCGGGCUUUUGCCCGGUGCACUCUUCUGCUGUCAGGCCAGCAUCAGUUCGGGCGGUCGGAUAAAGGCUUCGGGAAUGUAGCUCCUCUCGAGGAGUGUUAUAGCCCGUUGCGAAAUGCGGCCAGCCUGAACUGAGGUCCGCGCUUCGGCUAGGAUGCUGGCGUAAUGGUUGUAAGCGGCCCGUCUUGAAACACGGACCAAGGAGUCUAACAUCUGUGCGAGUGUUUGGGUGUCAAACCCGUACGCGUAAUGAAAGUGAACGGAGGCGGGAACCCCUCGGGGUGCACCGUCGACCGAUCCUGAUGUCUUCGGAUGGAUUUGAGUAAGAGCAUAGCUGUUGGGACCCGAAAGAUGGUGAACUAUGCCUGAAUAGGGUGAAGCCAGAGGAAACUCUGGUGGAGGCUCGCAGCGGUUCUGACGUGCAAAUCGAUCGUCAAAUUUGGGCAUAGGGGCGAAAGACUAAUCGAACUAUCUAGUAGCUGGUUCCUGCCGAAGUUUCCCUCAGGAUAGCAGUAACGUUUUCAGUUUUAUGAGGUAAAGCGAAUGAUUAGAGGCCUGGGGGUUGAAACAACCUUCACCUAUUCUCAAACUUUAAAUAUGUAAGAAGUCCUUGUUGCUUAGUUGAACGUGGACAUUUGAAUGUAUCGUUACUAGUGGGCCAUUUUUGGUAAGCAGAACUGGCGAUGCGGGAUGAACCGAACGCGGAGUUAAGGUGCCGGAAUGCACGCUCAUCAGACACCACAAAAGGUGUUGGUUCAUCUAG
rnacentral:rRNA from 1 species